rnacentral:lncRNA from 1 species
AGCCGACGCAGGCAGCCGCCGGGUGAAGUACGCAGGUACCGCAGGUACCCGGCGCCCGCCCGAUUUCAGGGCAAGUUACUGUUUUCAGAAUCCAAGGGGAAUCUAACACCUAAACAAUGCCAAGAGAAAAGGAAGGAAAACGAAAAACUAAAGGAGCACUCCUGCCCAUCAUUCCAACUCUUAAAAAGUUCCUGAAAACGUAUGAGAAGUAUUGUGCACAGACUCAGACGUCUGUGUGUCCAGCCAUCAAAAGGGACUUGAAAACCAGCAUCAAUAAUGAACAGAUUCUCAGGAAGUUUGUACUUGUAAGACCUGAUGACUCCCCGCCAGGCAUCCUACCAAUUUCCUUGGAACCUUUGCUCAUGACAGUUCAGGAUGAGUGUUUCACUCUGGGGAGAGAGAUCUGCAUUUGGGGCCUUCAACUGAGCAACCCAGAGAUGGCCAGACUCGCUUUGCUUUUGGAAUCAAAGGGGUGCACCACCUGCCCAUUUACCACCCUGGAACUCAUUGAUUGCAAGAUGGAUCUGUGGUCCCUGGGGAGACUUGGGAAGGCUCUUCAGUCCAGCAGUUUGCAAACUCUUGUUCUUGAUUACUGCAAAUUUGGAAAUGAAGAAAUUGAGAGGAUUUUCUCAGGCCUGGAGAACAACCAAAGGCUUCAAGUCCUCAGCUUACGUUACUGUGGUCUGGGGCCACAGAUUGGGCCAAGGCUGGGCUCUAUCAUAUGCCAGAGUGCCAUUUGUGAGCUGCACCUUGAUGGCAAUUACUUGCAGUGUUCUGGAGCUCUGGAUCUCCUCAGACCCGUAGCAGAGUAUGCAGAGAUGCAGGGGAAAGACCAGCCAGCCACUUGCUCACCAGACCCUAGGCAUCCCCCUCAGCUGCUCCAAGCUAAGCAGAGAGGAAGUUCAACUUUGAACCAGAUUACAAAGUCAUCUGGAGCUCUAACAGUGAAAACUACUUCAGGAAAGAAGAGAAAAAAAGGAAUCAAGAAAAAACUUAAAAAUUUGGAAGUUGGACCUUGGUUAGUGAAGUUGUAUUUGGCAGAUAAUGGCAUAGAUGGAAAAGGAAAAGAAGGAGAAAAUAACUUGCUGGAAUUCACUCAAAUUUUAACAUGCCUGAUCAAAUACUCUGCCCAUUUAAGGGAGAUUGACCUUGGAAACAAUGUCCUGGGAGAAAUGGCUGCUGCUGACAUUCUUGAAGCACUGAGAGCCAGAAAGACAGGUAAACUUCCAGUUUUAAAAGUUACAGUAACCCCCCAGAUCUCUUCAGAUACCUUCAUGUCUAUUUGGGAAAAUAGCAAGAAAUCAAGUACUACCCAUAAAAAGAGGAAAAAGGUAUGCUCUCAGAUAUCUGUGCUGGUAAGUAGAAGCCACCAGGGGGUGCUCUAUGGAGUCUGGGCACUCUGCUAG